CCUUAUUCUCCUUAUUAGUCAUAAUAUGCUGCUAUAUGUAUUUUUAACUGAGAAAUUUCAUUCACAAUUUUGUGGACAUGAAAACUUGUAGGAAAAUGAUAUGGUAUAGAUUAGGGGUCAAAAAAAAAGGGGAAAAAAUGGUUUCUCUCACUUUUAGACUGUUACCACUUGAUACCCGCCUUUGCCUACCACCCUUGCAAACAAUUGUCAUUACUGGUAUUCUCAACAACUGACUAAAUAGCCACUAUUAGCUUGUUGGAUGAUUUCCAUUUCCAUGAUAUUGAGUUUGAUGAGCUAUCAAAUCAAUUUAUUAUUGAAUCAUUUUGAGCGGGACCUUCUUCUACUAGUCGAUAAAUACCUAUGUGAUUUAGUUAGUUUUCGAGAGUUAUUAUUAUUGACAAUUGAGAAU
rnacentral:misc_RNA from 1 species